UACGAAGGGAGCUAGCGUUGUUCGGAAUCACUGGGCGUAAAGCGCACGUAGGCGGAUGUGUCAGUCAGGGGUGAAAUCCCGGAGCUCAACUUCGGAACUGCCUUUGAUACAGCACGUCUUGAGUCCGGAAGAGGUGGGUGGAAUUCCUAGUGUAGAGGUGAAAUUCGUAGAUAUUAGGAAGAACACCGGUGGCGAAGGCGGCCCACUGGUCCGGUACUGGACGCUGAGGUGCGAAAGCGUGGGGAGC
rnacentral:rRNA from 1 species